AUUGAACGCUGGCGGCAGGCCUAACACAUGCAAGUCGAGCGGAUGAAGGGAGCUUGCUCCUGGAUUCAGCGGCGGACGGGUGAGUAAUGCCUAGGAAUCUGCCUGGUAGUGGGGGAUAACGUCGGGAAACGGGCGCUAAUACCGCAUACGUCCUGAGGGGGAAAGGGGGGGAUCUUCGGACCUCACGCUAUCAGAUGAGCCUAGGUCGGAUUAGCUAGUUGGUGGGGUAAAGGCCUACCAAGGCGACGAUCCGUAACUGGUCUGAGAGGAUGAUCAGUCACACUGGAACUGAGACACGGUCCAGACUCCUACGGGAGGCAGCAGUGGGGAAUAUUGGACAAUGGGCGAAAGCCUGAUCCAGCCAUGCCGCGUGUGUGAAGAAGGUCUUCGGAUUGUAAAGCACUUUAAGUUGGGAGGAAGGGCAGUAAGUUAAGACCUUGCUGUUUUGACGUUACCAACAGAAUAAGCACCGGCUAACUUCGUG
rnacentral:rRNA from 1 species